UUUGGCUCGAGAGACAGAGGAAAUAAUAUGGGGCGUGGCUGGGGUCCUUCUUUUUACAUGGGAGAGGUUAAAUUUUUGAAUAGAAAAAGCGGUCUCCUCGAAAGCUUUGCAAGGAUCUUUUUAUAGAUUCAAGAACGAAAGUGGGGGAUUAGCGCCAAUCAGAUCCUUGUUUUUCCAACCAUCACACCGGGGGGAGGAGAGAAGGGGGGGUGUUUCUUAUGCCUCCUUCGCCUCUGUAAGAAGAAAAAAAAAUUCUUUUGAUCCGGGGGGGAGUUCGCCCCCAAGGUUAAUAUUAAAAGGAAUGGAGGAAGGGCCACCCCCCGGGAGUGGACCUUGGGCUUUAAUAAGACUCAGCAGGGGGAAAUUUCCCAGGCCAAACAUAAGAGAGCCAGACAGAUUGAUAGUUUUUUUCUUGAUUAAAUGGGGGGAGCAACAACGAAGUAAGGGCGGGGGGGGGAAUAUUUCGGGAAAUUCCGUCCCCCGGCGACCCCUUCCCGCGCUUUUUAGUUACACGAACUUUAGUAUGCGUGGGCAACGUCGGAGGGGGAAUUUGUGGCCCCCCACAACAAAGUCGAGCCAAUCCAAAGUGUGGUCCCCCCCAAGAGGUCAUGCGAUUACCCCGCCCCCCAAUGAUUCAUUCAACUAUUUUACGCCCACCCCUAAAAGGUCGGUCAAUGUUUUAAAAAUGCCCCGGGUGGGGGCCCCAUUAUUCACAUUCUAUUUUUCAAUGAGGCUUUGGUAGAAGCCCGGAUUCCCAGUUCCGGUCAUGACCCCCCUAGUCGUUUAAAACACGGCCGGCCGGUCAUACCACGGACCUGUUCCGGUGAAUAAUUCGGCCGGCCCCAUGAUUCGGUUUGUGAACUUUUAAUGGAAAUCAGAGUGACCACCAACAUUUUUUGUAAUAAAAAUAUCCCCCCCCCCCAUUGUUCCCUUCUCUCGCUUUUUUUCCCCUAUAAAUUCCCCCAGCCUCCAGAAGAAAGGGAGCAAUUCCA
rnacentral:rRNA from 1 species